CUGCCUGUGGCCUAGUGUGCAAGGUUACAGUCUUUGGAACACGGGGUCGUAGGUUCAAGCCCAGCUAGGAACA
rnacentral:tRNA from 1 species